GCGACUUGUGCGUCAUUCUAAGCCGUUCUGUACAUUUAUACUGGAUAUUAAUUGGAGUCAUUUAGCUGUGCUGAUUCUGCUUGCCGUGUGUUUUGCAUCAGUGCUUCGUGACAUCGGCUGUAUUGCGUGUUUUCGCCGACGGCUUACUACCACAAUGGCGUGAUCUGCGUUCGCCGCCUUCGUGUCUCGGUGCGUCUUUGUAUACGUCGCACGUUCGGACAACGCUUUUUCCGACGGCUGGACAUCUUUCUUGUACCUUGGCGCUAGCUGGAUGACGGGACCUCAUCAUGAUCAGUGUAUUGCUUGCCUAUGUCUACAAGAACCGUCACGCGUGGCCUGUGACAGCAAGCUUUUGUGGGCAGCAAGUGCUCUCCUACGAAGGCUGGCCUACUCUGGCAGCGGCGGCAAUCAUCUUCAAGAUUUAUGCAUGCUCACCUUUGCUGC